rnacentral:lncRNA from 1 species
AUCCAAUUAAAUACAAGGAAAAAAAUCCAUAAUAUCUUAUCGCACUUUGACGUUUGAAUUUAAACUCCAAUAUCUCGAGACUUUUGCAACAUGUGACUAGAUUGCCAUUCAUGGCUCUGGCUCAAAUGUCAAAUGCUACAAUAUAUUGCAGGCCAUCGUGUUCUUUUUGCAUAUGAAUCUGCUAAAAAUUGAAGAGAUUGAUAAGUCAUUAUCAAGCUUGAUAUGACAGCCAUGGUUGACCUCGACUAUGCUAACAGCAAGUGCGCNAUAAUGUCACACGAUAUUUCAUUAUUGGACAGUUUUUGACGCAUUAAACUUUUCCAUCAAAUCAUCUGUUAUCACCUCUAAUUAUGUCAAGGCAGACUUUGUCAAAAUCCACAUGUGAACUGAAGCGUCGCCAAAGUGGAAGACAAAAUAUCUCUGGAGGUCAACUCUCAGCUGGUCAAUAGCCUCUUUAAAGAGGCAAGAAAUCAUGUGUGACCACACAAAACAAGGGAAAAUUGAUUCUACUAAAGAAGCAGAUGCAUAAAUAAUCAAUACCUAAUUCAAAUCCAAUUAAAUACAAGGAAAAGAAUCCAAAAUAUCUUAUCGCACUUUGACGUUUGAAUUUAAACUCCAAUAUCUCGAGACUUUUGCAACAUGUGAUUAGAUUGCCAUUCAUGGCUCAAAUGUCAAAUGCUACAAUAUAUUGCAGGCCAUCGUGUUCUUUUUGCAUAUGAAUAUGCUAAAAAUUGAAGAGAUUGUUAAGUCAUUAUCAAGCUUGAUAUGACAGUCAUGGUUGACCUCGACUAUGCUAACAGCAAGUGCGCAAGUUGAAUGUUCGCCAACUCAUUCAUUGUCAACCAAGUGCGCAAAAUAUGCUCUAACCAGGUAUACAAAGCUGCAGCUAGAAAACAACUCAAAUCCGUGAAGCCUUAAGACCAACAGACCACAGUGCGUUAAAUCCCAACGAGACACAGAUAGCCGGGGAUUUGUUUUACCAAUUCAUCGCCUAUCCGAUUUUUGACAGCUUGAGAAACUCGUGCAAGCUAUAUUAAGAUUCAGAAUCUUCAAACAUCGACAGCUAUGUAUCACUCUAAUCAAACUAUCUUAUAUAGCAAAUCUACGAGCCAACUUCAAAAAUAAUUUAGUAAUACAUUCACAAUAAAGCCAUCAUUUCAUGGUUUUGACAGUCGAUAAUGUAUAUAAUGUGGACAAUCAUUCAAAUGUGCGCCAUAGAAUGUUGAGCGUGCUCAAAAGAUCUGAUUUUUAGAAACAAAAUAGUAACACCUUCGGCUGUCAUAUGCCAAUCAUACGCGGAAGAAUGAUCUACAACAUAUAUGAAACUCGAAUUCAUUAGGCUUCAUAAGCUGCAUUACAAAAGACUAAUGACAAAUGAAAAGAGCAGUAUCCAACAUAACUACAGAUGAAAAAAUAAGGAGGAAUACAAUAAGAGAAAGAUUAUAAGAACUCUCAAGUUCAAAUACAAAUCAGUACAUGGGGCUUUUACCUUCUACUUCCCAGUUCUCAGAAGCCGAUUCUACCACCAUAAGACAGCUUGUUUUGGAGUUAUUCUCCUCUGCUACUUCAUCUCCUUGUCCUGUUUUGCUCACAUACCAUCUCCAUUUCAGUUAUUAACCAAAAUAUCAUUGAGCAACAAUUCUUGGACGAACACCAAACAAAUCAGCCAACAUUGAUCAUUCCAUUUCCAUGUAACCAUGACGAAUGACAACAAAUUUACCACCAAAUUCAUCCCCAACCUUCCACAAAGUCAAUUGAUAUGGUAGGAACCUCACUUAAGAAAUCACCAUCUUCUGCUGUUUCCUUCAUUAACAUCAAAUCCCCAUCCUCUACGUCGUCUUGAUGUGGAGCCGAAACUACCACUCUGACUAAUUCUAGAAUCUGAACUAGAACUAGAAGUGGAUGAUUGAUUCCCGCCAAAACAAGAGAACAAACCACGGAGAACUCUCAUCAACCCACCUCUUUCCUGCGAAACACUCCCGUUCGACCCCCAUGAAAUCCUCCUCGGAAUCCCAUUAUUGUUAAAUCCACCAUCCAUCUCUGUGUAUACGACUGGUAACUCUCUAUCCCCACCUCUCCUCCCUCCCGAAAACCUUCCUACAGCGAACCCACCUCCUGGCAACCUCCAUAUUGUGAGUCCAACGGUCUCAUCUUCAUUCACAAUCUCGUUCCCUCCUCUGUUUACUGAGGUUGUAUCACGAUGAUAGUUACUAUCAUUAUUGUCAUCAUCAGUUGGUAAUUCGUGUCGACAAACGGGACAUGAAUUCCGCAAUGAAAGCCAUGGCAAUAUGCAGUCUUGAUGAUAUAAAUGCUUGCAGGGCAUUUCCCGAGCCUCACUCCCCAAGUCGAAAGCCUCUUUACAAACAGCACAGUGUGAUUCGAUAGCUAUAUGUUGAUCAUUUAUCUCGACUGUGGGCAUAGAUUCAAUUGCUGCCUUCGAUGCAGGCGGAUUACUGUCAAUUCUCCCAAUACCAUUCGCCUCAAUUUGAGACAAUUGAUCCAGCAAUCUGUCAAAACCCGACCCUAGCAGAAACUCCGACAUAGUAUCUGGUAAGGGACGUAAACCCGACCCGGUCCCAUCAUCAUAAUAAAGGGCAAAUCCGCCUCCGGCCGUGGCGCCGCCACCACCAUCAUUGGGCCCACGGAGGACAAUCACCGGGUUGAACGGUGACCUAUCACCCCCAUUUCUCCGGCUCCUCCUAAUCCUUGGACUGGAACCCAAACCCGACCCGGGUCCCGACUCCGGAUUCCGCAUCAUGUACAUAGCGGCGGCCGGAUAACGCCGUCUGCGGGAGUCAGAUAUCGAAGAUGGGUUCGCAUUUUCGAUUUCUUCAACAAACCCGCCGUUGCAAUCGGGGCAAGCAAUCGAAUCUUGGGUCCACACCCUAACAAAUCGGUUGCAUCUGUAACACCAAUAUGCUGAGUUCAUCGACAUCUAAAAUUUAUUUCAAAGAAAUCGAUUAUUGAAAAUCUCAAAUUUUCUUUCAGAUCUGAAACUUGAUUUAUUCUACAAAAAAUCAAAAGAUCUUGACAAAAAAAGUGGAAAAUCAAGACUUCAAAUACAUAACUUUAGAGACGACCAGAGUCGCUAAGAAAAAAAUCAGUCAUGGGAAGAGUUUGGGGACGAAGAAAUCAGAGAGGAAAAAUGGAAUAUAAGAGGAAAGGGGCAUGUAGGUAAUAAAAUUGUGGGUGUAUGGGUAAAUAUGGGAAAAACGUGUGGGGCUUUGCGUGUUAAAGAGC